rnacentral:rRNA from 1 species
GUGACCUCAAAUCAGGUAGGACUACCCGCUGAACUUAAGCAUAUCAAUAAGCGGAGGAAAAGAAACUAACAAGGAUUCCCCUAGUAACUGCGAGUGAAGCGGGAAAAGCUCAAAUUUAAAAUCUGGCGGUCUUUUGGCUGUCCGAGUUGUAAUCUAGAGAAGUGUUAUCCGCGCUGGACCGUGUACAAGUCUCCUGGAAUGGAGCAUCAUAGAGGGUGA